UUCUUGGCAUCUUCCAAAAGAAUUUGUUUGGGCAGAUUAUCAAUAUUGACAUU
rnacentral:sRNA from 1 species